UACGUAGGUGGCAAGCGUUGUCCGGAUUUACUGGGCGUAAAGAGUAUGUAGGCGGACAUUUUAAGUAGAAAGUGAAAGGUUGGAGCUUAACUCCAACACUGCUUCCUAUACUGGGUGUCUUGAGUGCCGGAGAGGAAAGCGGAACGACACGUGUAGCGGUGAAAUGCGUUUGAUAUGUGUCGGAACACCAAUGGCGAAGGCAGCUUUCUGGACGGAGCCGCAAGGCUUAAAAACUGACGCUGAGAUACGAAAGCGUGGGUAGCGAACAGG
rnacentral:rRNA from 1 species